UACGUAGGGGGCGAGCGUUGUCCGGAUUUAUUGGGCGUAAAGAGCGUGUAGGCGGCCAGGUAGGUCCGUUGUGAAAACUCGAGGCUCAACCUCGAGACGUCGGCGGAAACCCUCUGGCUAGAGUCCGGAAGAGGAGAGUGGAAUUCCUGGUGUAGCGGUGAAAUGCGCAGAUAUCAGGAGGAACACCGGUGGCGAAGGCGGAUCUCUGGGCCAUUACUGACGCUGAGGAGCGAAAGCGUGGGGAGCAAACAGG
rnacentral:rRNA from 1 species